rnacentral:misc_RNA from 1 species
GUUUCAAUUUCCGUUUCCGCAUCCGUUGUUUCCCUUUCAGUUUCACUUCAGUGUGUUAUUGCCUUAGAUCGAAUCAAUGCCAGUGUCUGCCCCCAAUUUGUGCUUAUCGAUUGCCUGAAAUCAGCAGCUGUUUACCCACAGAUAGACUUUAUAAUAAUGCACUCAUUCAGACCGCCGUACAUUUGAACCGAAAUAGUACAUAUGUGCAGGCCAAGUCGGUCGUUUUCACUUUCGAACGGCCGACAUUUCGACGGGGAGACGGAGAAUCGGACGGAGACUCUGAGGUUGAGUCGGGUGCGGAGUCGGUUCUCAACUGUCAGAGGCAUCCAGUUGUUGGUGGAUCCGAAUGGGAACUGAACAUGCAAACGUCAAAACAGUUGCAGGCAUUAGAUAUGUGAUAUGUGAUAUAUGGCAAAUAUACCUUAUAUAUAUAAUCGUUGCAUUCCCUCGAGUUAGUGGUGGGAGGUUCUUAUGGCAGCUAUAAUGACUAUUUCCAGCUGCAUUUCAAUAAAGACGGGGAAACGUGGCGUAUGCGUGAUAUUGCGUAUACGCUACGUGGACUCUGUAACAAGUUAAUUUGGAUUGCUCGGUCUGAUUGAAGGGCUUAAAUUGCAUAAUUGUAGGAAUAUUCCUAACUAUAGGUAUACAUUUAGUGGGCUCAGAACUGGCAUUGUCACCUGUAGCAGCACUUAGUCCCUGUAAAAAUUAACGUAUCCUGUUCAAUGUUUUUAUGUCUCUUCGCACUUUGUAGCCAUGUCCAAGUCACUGUCACAACCAUAUAAACAUGAAAUCUUAAGUGGUGAAAUAACUUUAAACAGGAUGUAAUAGCUUCGGACAGCAAGGGAAGCAAUCCACAGGAGGGUCAGCAACCAGGAGGCGGAGCACAGCCACCGGAGGACGACGGCAAUGAGUCCCUCACAUCAGCAAUGGCCAUUGAGGGCUUCGUGCACGGUGCACCCGAGGAUUAUACAGAUGAGCGCAUUAAGCGCAUUGUGGAGUCCGGAGACUUGGAGCAGCUGGCCGAGAUUGUGCUGAAUGGCGAGGGCGGCAGCUUGGUGGGCCUGAAGUCGCCAGAACCGGAAAUACAGGCCUUUCUCAACAACGUGCCCAGCUAUAUGGAGAAAAUACAUCGCGUGCACGACGCGGCACGUGACGGAGGUUUGCUGGCACUGCAGCAGGCUCUGGAUCGCCGGAAGUUUGCCAUUGCAAAGAACGACAUAUCGCCCAACGGCUCCACGCCCUUGCACGUGGCCGUCCUCUUUGGCCACACGGACAUCGUUCGGUACUUGGCGUCCCGCUUUCCGGAGACCAUGACAAUUACGGAUAAUGACGGACGCACGCCGCUUCAUUACGCAGCCACAAUUAAGGACAACGGCCAUUUCUACAACAUGCUCCUGCAAUUGGGCGCCAAUCCCAAGUCACUGGACAAGCUGGGCCACUCGGCCGAGUUUUACCUGGACAAGGACAAGGCGAAAAACAUUCUCAACUACACCGAGCUGCUGAAUAUUUUCGGGGCGGAGGAGCUGGAGAACCAGUUGCUCAAUGACCAGGUUCCCGACGAUCUGCACAGUGCCCGGCGGGAGCUGCAGGAUGGCGAGAUCUCAAGGACCUUGGAGCGCUGCUUUAGCGUCAUUUCGGAAUCGGGUAAAUUGCUGAGCGGCACUACGGCAUCGGCUCUGUCCCAUCGAAAGCCACUGAGUGCAUCCUCGCUGCAACUUUCGGUGACCAGCUAUCUGAGUAGAUUCCUCAAGCGUGGUGUCUACGAUAAGAUCAAGCGCCGGCAGACCCGACUCGAUCACAAUCUCUUCGAUGUCCUGUGGCCAGCGAUGCGUAAAACAUCGAAGGCGCGCCACUUGGAGGAGGACAUCAACUGCGGGAUUAUAGCACCAGACUUCGAUGUGUUUGUGGUGUUCCAAGAGUUCCUGGUGCCGUUGAUUAAGGAUAUGCAUUGCCUGAGCAUUGAUGCUGAUUUCAAACCGCAGCCUCGAUUGGCCUAUUUUCCCAUGGACAAUGGGGAAAGGCUCAACACGGCGGCUUUCGUAUUCGACGAUGAGUCGCUGCUGGUCACCCGCUGUUUGGUGGAAGUCUCCAGGAAUCUGGAUCAGUUGGAGCUACCCCUGAACCUUACCAUUGGCCAAUUGGAGCAAGCGGAACGCCUGAUGAUGAGUAAGAUAUUUACCACACACUUUGCGGAUGCCAUUGGCGAAACGGAUUCGGGAAACUAUUACACCAUGACCGAACUCUUGGAACCCGACUCGGAGGUGACGAUGAUGCUCAGUAGCCUCGGUCUGAUGAUUCCUCUCUUAGAUACCAAGGAUCUGGUACAGGCUGCCGAGUCCACAGCCUUCAAUGGAGCUCUUUGGCCAUACGGCAGGGGAGUCUUUGUCAAUUCAGCCAACAAUUUGGCUGUGUGGCUCAAUUGCCAGGAGCACUUGAGGAUAAUCUCCACGAGCAGCAGCAAAGAGCCAGCGGAUAUGGGAGCUGCUUACACGAGAGUGGGAAGAGCCAUAACCUACCUGGAAACCCAACUGCAUUUCAAGGAGAGCUACCUCCUGGGUUACCUUCAGUCCAGACCCAGUUACUUGGGCACCGGACUCAAGAUGACCACCAUAGUGAAGCUAACCAAUCUGAUGAAGGAGAUGGACAACCUGCGGCACUUGUGCUCGGUGCGGGGAUUGAGUAUGGUGACCAAUCGGCUUUCAAAACUCACCGUGCGCCUUGUCAAUAUGCAGAGCAUGGGCGUGGUGGAGUACGUCCUUUUCCAGGACUACUGCACUGCUGUCACCAAUAUCCUGUCGCUAGAGAAGGACAUGUCGCUGACGAACUCCAAGCACAUCGCCACCAUGCUGGUAAAGAUCUUCAAGCGCAAGAAGAACAGCAUCGUGGAUCGCAACUAGAAGAAAGCACUAGAUUCCAGCUCAAUGUACAUACCAAAUAAAACAAUACCUCCGCACAUUAAAUCCCUAAUACAUAUGCUAAAUUUGACUGAUACCUGCCACGAGCCCUCAUCUCAAAUCUCCUCCGCUUUCGCUGCGUUUAAGGUUAAUCCGCAAUCGUCAGGCGCAGCCAGUGAGCUUUCAGGCCAAUCCAAUCUUCAAGACGGAGCAGGGAAAAUACCUUGCUGAUUCUCUCGCAGAUCCUUUGAUCA